rnacentral:rRNA from 1 species
GUAAUAGCUCACUGGUCGAGUCGGCCUGCGCGGAAGAUGUAACGGGGCUAAACCAUGCACCGAAGCUGCGGCAGCGACGCUGAUGCGUUGUUGGGUAGGGGAGCGUUCUGUAAGCCUGUGAAGGUGUACUGUGAGGUAUGCUGGAGGUAUCAGAAGUGCGAAUGCUGACAUAAGUAACGAUAAAGCGGGUGAAAAGCCCGCUCGCCGGAAGACCAAGGGUUCCUGUCCAACGUUAAUCGGGGCAGG